UACUCUUUUGCAUAUACUCGAAUA
rnacentral:siRNA from 1 species